rnacentral:tRNA from 1 species
GCUGGUGUAGCUCAGCCGGCAGAGCAGCUGAUUCGUAAUCAGCAGGCCGAGGGUUCAAAUCCCUCCACCAGCUCCA